CUUGACCAACCGCGUUUCCUCCUCCCAGUACGUAGGCGAUCGCACAGAAUGGUGCGAAGAAAGUUGGCUGGAUAUCCCGUCGCUGAGAAGGUACAAAGGGAAACUCAUCCGAAAGCUGGACCUUCCUCACUGCCGAAUGACCCUGAUGACCAUUUAAAAGGUAAUCAUCUUUAACAUGAAGGUAAACCAGACCUUCUUCUUAAAGUAUGUUUUCCCUCUUCGAAAGCAGCACUGCACUGGUGGAAAAAUGCUACCAUGAUAAUGGGGAAUGUGGACGCAGGUCAUCAAUGCUAUGAAUGCUGAAAAUAAG